CGUGAGUUUAGUUCCUCCACCAAAAGUCCACCACAGUGCUUCAUUCUAGUGAAAGCGUCGUACAAAAACCUCCGUCACACUCAAAUAAACACAAACUCCAGCAGACACUCGCACACACUGAUAUGAGACUCAACAUCAGCAAUGGAUUAUUAUUAAAAAACAGCCCAAAAUGUUAAUCUUUAAAAAUAUAAAAAAUUAUUAUUGCAUGAAGGCUGAAAUCAUUUGUUUCAUAAUUAGUCCCAAAAUGCUUUCAUUGCAUUUUCAGUACACAUGAUUUUAAACUCUGCUAAUUCCACUUACCUGCUUUAUGAAAUCUUUAGCAAGAUUUAGAUCGUCAUUCUCUAUUAGAUGACCUUUGACCUACUAUACAGUAUCAUGGAUGAUAUAGCUAAAAUUGGCACAACAGAUAUUAAAUGCUCACUGCAUCAAAGUCUGAAUGAAACAAUAAACUGUGUUUGGAGGGAGAAGCCUGACCCAAAAUAACGAAGUACAUUAUAAAUAUCUGUUUCUGAAAAUGGUAAAUGAAAAUUUAUCAGCAAAGAUACUGAACAAAUAAAAUGGCAAAUUGUGUAUCUCUGCUGUCUUCAGGUAAAUGAUCUGGAGUGUGUUUGCAUAUUGAUCAGAUGCUUCAGUGCUCUGAGAGUGUUUAUAGUGCUGUGAGUUUAACACUUCAUCACUGAGAGCUUUUCUCCAUUUUAACUGAAAGAACAACCAGCAAGAAGAUGAUGAUCAUCAACAUCUGUAUCUGGACACUCAUUCUUUCUGUUCAAGAAACUGCAGGACAAAUUUCUGUGACCCAGACUCCCUCAGCAGCAGCUGCUCAACCAGGAGAAACAGUUACUAUAAACUGUCAGACUAGCAGAGGAAUUGGAGAUCGUUCAGCGGGUUGUGGCUCCUGUCUCGCCUGGUAUCUGCAGAAACCUGGAGAAGCUCCUAAACUCCUCAUUUAUAGCAUUAGAUCACGGCAGUCAGGAACUCCAUCUAGAUUCAGUGGCAAUGGAGCAAAUUAUGGAACAGAUUUCACUCUGACCAUCAGUGGAGUCCAGACUGAAGAUGCUGGACAUUAUUACUGUCUGAGUGUACACUGGAUCAGUAGUAGCUGGGUGUUCACACAGUGA